CAUACCUAUUCGAAGGGAUAGGGUCGGCCCGGCCGGAUUUUACACAAGUGUUGCAUGGCUGUCGUCAGCUCGUGUCGUGAGAUGUUGGGUUAAGUCCCGCAACGAGCGCAACCCUCAUCCUUAGUUGCCAUCAGGUAAUGCUGAGUACUUUAAGGAAACUGCCAGUGAUAAGCUGGAGGAAGGUGGGGAUGAUGUCAAGUCAUCAUGGCCCUUAUGGAGUGGGCUACACACGUGCUACAAUGGUGUCUACAAUGGGUUGCAAGGUGCGCAAGCCUAAGCUAAUCCCUAAAAGACAUCUCAGUUCGGAUUGUACUCUGCAACUCGAGUACAUGAAGUUGGAAUCGCUAGUAAUCGUGGAUCAGCAUGCCACGGUGAAUACGUUCUCGGGUCUUGUACACACUGCCCGUCACGCCAUGGGAAUUGGUUUCACUCGAAGCU
rnacentral:rRNA from 1 species